UGGUGGACCCUGCUGACUUGCUCACUACUGGCAAGCAAAGUGUUCACUGAUGAAUGAACAAUUACAUUUACCCACAGACUGAAAUAUGAUGUUAUUUUGUUUUGACUGAAAUUCCAACUCACUGUGAGAAUACUGUGAAAAAAAUCAUGAGAAGUAUCCUCAUAGGUGAGUCUUUUCACACAUCUGCACUAGUGAAUAUCUGAAUUUUAAAAGCCACUCCAGACCUACAUAGGUGAUGAAUGAAGAAGAGUGCCCUUCCAUGAACACAUGUGCUGGAGACGUGUUGAAUUUCUUCCCCCUCAGCAUAAUCAGAGGAGGUGACCCCAAGCACCUUAGAGACCAUGGGAAGUUCCUAAUGCCGGCCUGAUGCAGAUUCUCUUCUCCACGGAGCACCAUGGCCGCUGGGCUCUGCCUUCCACACAGAACGAUGUGUACUUGAAAACAGUACACUCUUGCACAGCUGUCCCUGGAGCUUCCCCGUGGAGCUGUUAAACUUGCCCUCCGCUGGCUGUUUUCCACAAAGUAAUAUGGUUACAUAGAUUCACGGCUCAUGGCAAUGUUUCAUUAAGACAGUUCUUGAUGGCCGCUCCACACCUUUCUCACCACAUCUCACAGGCUGCCCUGCUGAGCCAGGUCUCCCUGGAACCCGGGGCUCCUGCGCAGGCCCCCAUUUUGCUCCAGAACACCCAGGAAGGCGGGGCUUGGGCUGGAAUGGGGACACCGAUUACCCUCUGUUCAGGCCUUUGGUGCCAGCUGAGGUCGAUACUGGUGCCAGGAUCGAGACUGUGCGCAUCCCAUCGAGAGCGGGCAGAUGUGGGGGCGCACUGGACCGGGCCUCCCAGGCUGACACCCAUUCACAGCAGCCUGAGCCUAAUCCGCCACUGCUCGCCUUCCUCCGACGUCUCCACCUAAACCAUCCUUCUGCACAUUGUGACCCAUCACUCCGCCCUUUGUCC
rnacentral:lncRNA from 1 species